AUGUGUUAUAACAUUGAGGGUGUUACAGCACAAUGCACGGUUCAAACGAUAAGCUUUCCGCGAGUCUUAUAAUCUUCAAAGAGUUGUUCACUUAACAUACAUGUUCAGUCAUGUACAGUGUCGAGCGUACGGACAGUGAAAGAACGCGAACUCUGGCAGUGGUACAAGAGAUGAAGAUCAGGAAGAAGAUAGAGGAGUACGUUAUUAUUUUUCCUGUCCUUAUCUUAACUUGUUUUUAGAUUUUUCGUUUAGAUGAGGAGGAGGCUGAUGAAAAGUAGAGGAGGAUGCUGACGGAGAGACAAGAAGGAUGCAGAUGAAGAGACGAGGAUGCAGAUGAAGAGAAAAGGAGGAUGCAGAUGAAGAGACGAGGAUGCAGAUAAAGAGAAAAGGAGGAUGCAGAUGAAGGGACGAGGAGGAUGAAAAUGAAUGGACAAGGAGGAUCAAGAACGGACAAGGAGGAUCAAGAAGGAUAUAGAGAAACAUGUCGAGCGUACGGACAGUGAAAGAACGCGAACUCUGGCAGUGGUGGGUGCUUACAAUUGUUUGUUUCCAUCAAACAAAUAACUUCUUCUUCAGUCUUUUUUUAGGUACAAGAGAUGAAGAUCAAGAAGAAGAUAGAGAGGAGUACGUUAUUUUUUCCUGUCCUAAUCUUAACUUGUUUUUAGAUUUUUCGUUUAGAUGAGGAGGAGGCUGAUGAAAAGAAGAGGAUGCUGACGGAGAGACGAGGAAGAUGCUGACGGAGCUACGAGGAGGAUGCUGAUGG